rnacentral:rRNA from 1 species
CAGCACCUCAAGUGGUCAGGAUGAUUAUUGGGCCUAAAGCAUCCGUAGCCUGCUUUGUUAGUUUUCGGUUAAAUCCAUACGCUCAACGUAUGGGCUGCCGGGAAUACUGCAAAGCUAGGGAGUGGGAGAGGUAGACGGUACUCGGUAGGAAGGGGUAAAAUCCUUUGAUCUAUUGAUGACCACCUGUGGCGAAGGCGGUCUACCAGAACACGUCCGACGGUUAGGGAUGAAAGCUGGGGGAGCAAACCGGAUUAGAUACCCGAGUAGUCC